AGGGUUUGAUCAUGGCUCAGAACGUACGCUGGCGGCACGCCUAACACAUGCAAGUCGAACGAAGUAGCAAUACUUAGUGGCAGACGGGUGAGUAACAUGUAGGUAUCUGCCCUUUGGCCUGGAAUAACACGAGGAAACUUGUGCUAAUACCGGAUAAGUCUUUACGGAGAAAGCUUUAUGCACCAUUGGAUGAGCCUGCACUUGAUUAGUUUGUUGGUGGGGUAAUGGCCUACCAAGACUGUGAUCAAUAGCUGAUUUGAGAGGAUGAUCAGCCACAUUGGGACUGAGACACGGCCCAAACUCCUACGGGAGGCAGCAGUGGGGAAUCUUGCACAAUGGAGGAAACUCUGAUGCAGCGAUGCCGCGUGAGUGAAGAAGGCCCUUGGGUUGUAAAGCUCUUUCGUCGGGGAAGAAAAUGACUGUACCCGAAUAAGAAGGUCCGGCUAACUUCGUGCCAGCAGCCGCGGUAAUACGAAGGGACCUAGCGUAGUUCGGAAUUACUGGGCUUAAAGAGUUCGUAGGUGGUUGAAAAAGUUAGUGGUGAAAUCCCAGAGCUUAACUCUGGAACUGCCAUUAAAACUUUUCAGCUAGAGUAUGAUAGAGGAAAGCAGAAUUUCUAGUGUAGAGGUGAAAUUCGUAGAUAUUAGAAAGAAUACCAAUUGCGAAGGCAGCUUUCUGGAUCAUUACUGACACUGAGGAACGAAAGCAUGGGUAGCGAAGAGGAUUAGAUACCCUCGUAGUCCAUGCCGUAAACGAUGUGUGUUAGACGUUGGAAAUUUAUUUUCAGUGUCGCAGGGAAACCGAUAAACACACCGCCUGGGGAGUACGACCGCAAGGUUAAAACUCAAAUGAAUUGACGGGGACCCGCACAAGUAGUGGAGCAUGUGGUUUAAUUCGAAGAUACGCGCAGAACCUUACCAACACUUGACAUGUUCGUCGCGACUCUAAGAGAUUAGAGUUUUCGGUUCGGCCGGACGAAACACAGGUGCUGCAUGGCUGUCGUCAGCUCGUGUCGUGAGAUGUUGGGUUAAGUCCCGCAACGAGCGCAACCCUCACUUUUAGUUGCCAUCAUUAAGUUGGGCACUCUGAAAGAACUGCCAGUGAUAAGCUGGAGGAAGGUGGGGAUGACGUCAAGUCCUCAUGGCCCUUACGUGUUGGGCUACACACGUGCUACAAUGGUAUCUACAACAGGAAGCAAAACUGCGAAGUUAAGCAAAUCCCUAAAAGAUACCUCAGUUCGGAUUGCACUCUGCAACUCGAGUGCAUGAAGCUGGAAUUACUAGUAAUCGUGGAUCAGCGUGCCACGGUGAAUGCGUUCCCGGGUCUUGUACACACCGCCCGUCACACCAUGGGAGUUGGUUCUACCUUAAGGCAAGGUUUUAAACCCUUGACCACGGUAUAGUCAGCGACUGGGGUGAAGUCGUAACAAGGUAACCGU
rnacentral:rRNA from 1 species